ACGACGACUCAGUCGCGAACCAGACAUGAUACCUUUCACGUCAAUUCCGUUCUCGGGCAAUUGUUGGAUCGUCGUACGCCAUGUCCGCAGUGGAUCGACGCCGCUCUAACGUACUAGCUACUCGCCUGGGAGAUGAGACCGUCUAAACCCUUGUUUACAUAUUGAUUUUUAAAAAAAUUUAAGCGUAAAAUUUUGAAGGGAAAAAUUCAAUUGCAAUGGUGUCGAUCGACACCGAUCCUCUCGAUCUCGUAGGGCUUUUCAAUAAGGGGCGAAUGAGAUGGCGAGAAUAAAAUUUUAAAACGCGUUCCUUUUUUAAUUGGAAACGACAGUUGGUGAGGAGGUGCACGCAGAAAUUCGUCGGUAAUUAAUUAAUCCUCGACCGACGAAUUUCAAUAAAAAUGAGCUAUCCCGGGGGGUGGCUAUCGGUCCUGGGGUACGCGACGAUUUAAAAGUGGCCGUACCGAGCAAAGAUACCGUGUAGAGGGGAUAUUGAUCGAACCUAGGGAAGGGGUUGUUAUCAAGUGGCGCUGCGUUAGGCGCGGGUCAGAACCGUGUCGUUAGAGCGUGCAUACUUAGUGCCAGUGCCAGUAUAGUGCCUGUGCGCCCAGCAAUAGCACUACGUUCAGGUAUGCAAUCCCAUUGCGGACUUUGUGCGGCACUGGGAACUGUCUUCAGAAGACUUAUGUGCAUCGCUCCGUCGAGGAGGGGAUCCCACGAUAGUUAUUACACAAAUAUCGAACGCCAUCAUGGAUCGCCACAACCGUCCUUGGACACAUCAGAUCCAAACGCAGUACUUAUCAGAAUGGAAGAACAUGAUAAAUUUUACUGUGAUUCUAAGCGACUUUCCAAUAGUGAAGUACAGUUAGUGGCAGCGCUUGAUUACCGAGGUUGGAAGACAGGAAAAUUUCUUACAAUUCAUAAAAGACGCCGGAGAAGGCUGACGACACGUUCUCUUCAUGAUACUGCACUUCUUGAUGACCUUCAUCACGGGCAAGUGCAAUGUGUCUUGGACAGGGUUUGGAAAUGGCCUUUUAAUGCCUUUACUUUAGAUACUGCUACAGGUGGUAGAUCACUGCCAGUUUUAUGUGUUCAUCUUUUUCAUUGGUAUGGCCUUAUUGACCAUUUUAACUUAGAUGUUGUUAGAAUAUGGAAAUUUUUUAGUUUAGUAGAAGAGGGUUAUCAUAGUACAAACCCUUACCAUAAUGCAAUACAUGCAACUGAUGUCACUCAAGCAAUGCAUUGCUUUCUCCAAGAAGAAAAGAUUAGGAGAUAUUUAACUUACACAGAGAUUCUGUCAGCGUUAAUAGCUGCUGUGACUCACGAUUUAGACCAUCCAGGUGUUAAUCAGCCUUUCCUUAUUGCAACUUCCAACCAUUUAGCCGCUCUUUAUGAGAACACUUCGGUGCUAGAGAAUCAUCAUUGGAGAUCUGCUAUCGGUUGUUUGCUCGAGAGUCACUUGGCAGAACAAGUAGUGAGUGUCAGGCCGGAACUAGAAAAACAAAUCGCUUCCUUAAUCCUCGCAACAGAUAUUACAAGACAACAAGAAUUUCUAACUAAAUUUAGGAAUUUCCUUGAUGAGGAGAGUCUUGAUAUGAAGAAAAGUGAGGAUCGGCAUUUCAUUCUUCAAAUCGCCCUGAAAUGUGCAGACAUUUCAAAUCCCUGUAGACCAUGGGAUAUCAGCAAAAAAUGGUCACUAAAGGUUUGUGAAGAAUUCUUUAGGCAAGGUGAUUAUGAACGUCAGUUAAAUCUUCCAGUUACUGCACUUUGUGAUAGACAUACUACUUCUGUGCCGAAAAUUCAAGCUGGAUUCUUCAGAUUUGUUGUCGAACCAUUAUAUAAGGAAUGGCAUCGGUUCUUAGACACGCCACUUUCACGGGAUUUAAUGAAGUAUCUAAAAAGCAAUCAGUCAAAAUGGGAGAAUUUGAUUCAACAAGAAAUUGCUGAAGAAACUAGAACAGAAAUAUCGGAGGCUGAAGAAAUACCCGAUGAGGUGGGAAGUAGUAUACAGCAUGUCGAAGAACGUCGUUGUUCUUUAUUAACAGUCCCAAGUAGGACAUUUGAAAAAAGGAGACAUUCAGUGCCUCUUAGUGUUAGUGGAAAAUCAACUAAUGGACAAAAUUCUUCCCGAAGAGAAAGUUUGCCAGAUCCAAGUAGAAAAAGGUUUAGCCCAAUGUUUGAUGAAGAUGACGAGCUUUCUAUUGUCUCUUCCUGUUCUUCCCUGAGGCGUUCUUCAGGUGGAAGUAACACAGAUGACAGACCUGUUAGUUCAGAAGCAUUGUUGCCAGAUGUAUCAAUAGCAUCUAUGACUUCUUCUAGUGAGGUACAGAAACUGACGUCAAUCCUCCAUGGAAACAUAUCCACAUCAUCCUCAUUGCAAGGAAGAUUGACCAGACAGCAAACCUUCCCACCUGUCCAGCCUUACAUAAGGCCGAGGUACCUAUCAGCUACUGGAGAGUUGAGGGGUAGUUCUAGCUCAGACUCGAGUGGAGGUGAACGUUGCCUAGACACUAAACCUUUAUUGGCCAAAGAGAAAGAAAAUGUCGAUCCUGAUGUUACAAAAAUAAUCCGACGAUCAGUCCCGCAGGGAAAUAAAAUUCGAGACGACCCGAAGGGCCGUAACACUGCAAAAAAAGUGGAUUUACUGACAUAGUUGAUAGAACGAGCCCAGACUGUUCCCCUAGAAAAUAAAAACCAUAGUCGUAGAUUUUGAGGGAGGGAAGAUGAGAGAGACGAAUAUCUCGGAGAGUCGAUCAUUCAUCAGGAUUGGCUUUUCUUCUAAAUCCAUCAUUGGGGCGAUAAAAAAAAUUUGUGGAAAAGAAGAGGGUCAGCGCCAGUCGGGCUUCCACCUUGUGAUCCUACUAGUAUUAUACCAAGUUCGAGAAGGGGUUCA
rnacentral:misc_RNA from 1 species